GGGCUGUGGCGGAAUAGGCAGACGCAUCGGACUUAAAAUCCGGUGGUAGAAAUACCGUAUGGGUUCAAGUCCCAUCAGCCCC
rnacentral:tRNA from 1 species